rnacentral:rRNA from 1 species
AUUGAACGCUGGCGGCAGGCCUAACACAUGCAAGUCGAACGAGUGGCGGACGGGUGAGAAUUGUCUGGGAAACAGCCUGCUGGAGCGAGAUAACUACCGGAAAAGGUAGCUAAUACCGCAUACCAUGAGAUGUGCCCAGAUGGGAUUAGUUAGUUGGUGGGGUAACGGCUCACCAAAGCGACGAUCCCUAGCUGGUCUGAGAGGAUGACCAGCCACACUGGAACUGAGACACGGUCCAGACCCCUACGGGAGGCAGCAGUGGGGAAUAUUGCACAAUGGGCGCAAGCCUGAUGCAGCCAGGCCGCGUGGAGGAAGAAGGCCUUCGGGUUGUAAAGUACUUUCAGCGGGGAGGCGGUACCCGCAGAAGAAGCACCGGCUAACUCCGUGCCAGCAGCCGCGGUAAUUC